AGUGAACGCUGGCGGUAGGCCUAACACAUGCAAGUCGAACGGCAGCACAGGAGAGCUUGCUCUCUGGGUGGCGUGUGGCGGACGGGGGAGGAAUCAAUUGGAAUCUACUCUGUUGUGGGGGAUAACGUAGGGAAACUUACGCUAAUACCGCAUACGACCUACGGGUGAAAGCAGGGGACGUUCGGGCUUUGCGCGACUGAAUGAGCCGAUGUCGGAUUAGCUAGUUGGCGGGGGAAAGGCCCACCAAGGGGACGAUUCGUAGCUGGUCCGGGAGGAGGAGCAGACACAAUGGAACUGAGACACGGUCCAGAAUGGUACGGGAGGAAGCAGUGGAGAAUAUUGGAAAAUGGGCGCAAGCCUGAUCCAGCCAUACCGCGUAGGUGGAGAAGGCCUUCGGGUUGUAAAGCCCUUUUGUUGGGAAAGAAAUCCAGCUGGCUAAUACCCGGUUGGGAUGACGGUACCCAAAGAAUAAGCACCGGCUAACUUCGUGCCAGCCGCCGCCGUAA
rnacentral:rRNA from 1 species